UAUGUUACCCCACGGAGGAGUAUGGUGAAGAGGUCGUCCAGUCAGAUAUGGAUGGGAUGAUGGGUGGGGUGUAUAUUGUUGACUUGGUUCUGGGGGAGGAGAAGGCGACUCCCUGGAAUAUGCGAGGGCACCUACAGACUGUGAUAGUGGAGAACCAGCAGGUACAGGGCCUACGAGACUCUGGGGCCUCACUUACGUUGAUUGAGCCAGACCUGAUUCCUGCCUCCCAGGUGAUACCUGGACAGUAUGUGCGAAUUGCCACUGCCGGGGGACAACAGGCCGAUAUUCCUGUUGCCAAGAUACAUCUGGACUGGGGAGCUGACCAAGGAAUCGUGGAAGUCGGAGUACUCAAGGGGCUACCAGCCAAGGUAAUCCUCGGGAAUGAUCUGGGACAAGGACUAGUGACACGCUUCGUCCAGGUGGUAACCAGAAGCCAAACACGAAGAGAGGUGACCCAGGCUACAGAUAUGGUCCAGAAUCAGCCUACCCAGACAAUGGGACGAGACCAUCACAAUGCUGACGGGUUAUCCAGACGUGAGGAAACAAAUGCCAGACUUCGCAGACCUUCGGGCCGAGACAACAGUCAGGACUCCAACAUUGGCAUCAUGCCUGUCUCCUCGAUUUAAGAAGGGGGAGGUAUGUGAGGAGACCAGGGAAAGGGAUGUCUAGGACAUGCUUUCAUGUUAAAAAGGAAAGAGUUAAUCCUAUGGCCCAAGUUCUGAGUUCUUAAAUUGAAGCCCUCAGUCUGCAGAAGUCACACACAGGAAGUAUCCCAGAAGCAUACAGCAGGGGAGUGUUUCUUUUAGAAAAGCCCUCCUCCUUCCCCUCUGGAAAGACUGACAGCAUGAUCCACCAAUCAGAAAGGAGGAGAGAGAAGGAACCAGCAAGGGGGAAUUGUGGGGAGAGGAAGUGGCUGGGAGAAGGAGACUGUGUGUGUGUGGAGGUGAUGGUGCACAGCUAGACUCACUGGAGGUUGGGGUGUCGUCCCCUCUCAGUGUCAUCAGUGACCAGCCACUCUGUGUGCCCUGCUACAGCUGUCAUUACUGCCCAGGACUGGAGGAGAUAUACAGCAGCUGGUAAGGACUUUGCUGAACUCUGAGUGGACAUUAUUAGUAUAACCCUGCUUGCUGUUCACUGGAUUUCUGGGUCUCCCUGAAUAAAGAUCACCUUGAUUUUCAUUAUAA